rnacentral:rRNA from 1 species
GAUGAACGCUGGCGGCGUGCCUAAUACAUGCAAGUCGAGCGAACGGACGAGAAGCUUGCUUCUCUGAUGUUAGCGGCGGACGGGUGAGUAACACGUGGAUAACCUACCUAUAAGACUGGGAUAACUUCGGGAAACCGUAGCUAAUACCGGAUAAUAUUUUGAACCGUAUGGUUCAAAAGUGAAAGGCGGUCUUGCUGUCACUUAUAGAUGGAUCCGCGCUGCAUUAGCUAGUUGGUAAGGUAACGGCUUACCAAGGCAACGAUGCAUAGCCGACCUGAGAGGGUGAUCGGCCACACUGGAACUGAGACACGGUCCAGACUCCUACGGGAGGCAGCAGUAGGGAAUCUUCCGCAAUGGGCGAAAGCCUGACGGAGCAACGCCGCGUGAGUGAUGAAGGUCUUCGGAUCGUAAAACUCUGUUAUUAGGGAAGAACAUAUGUGUAAGUAACUGUGCACAUCUUGACGGUACCUAAUCAGAAAGCCACGGCUAACUACGUG